AGUCUUGUAGGCAAACAUUAUUAAGCUUCCACUUUUACUGAGGAUAACCUAAAGAAGGCACGAACAAACGUCAAGGCAUCCCUGUGAGAUAAAUUGUAAAUCCCCCCAAAAAGAGAGAAUAGAUGCUGAGCAAGAAGGAAGUAGAAGAAGUUGGGUGGAAAACACCUGAGGGACAAAAGUAAUAACCAUAGCGAGACCCACUAUCAGUGGAGCCCGUUUUACCAUCCUAGAAGGAGACAAGAGGGCGAGUGGGUGGGAGGGCAACAAAUAGGGGAAUGAGGAAAGGAGAGAAGAUUGUCAACAAGAAGCGCAACAGAGGAAGAGAUAGGGAUGAAAAGGAGAGCUUCAAAUCCAACAACCAGAUAGAACUCUGGUUCUGACGUAUAAGAUUCCAGCUGAUGCAGUGAGGAAAAAAAAGUCUCCUUAACUCAUGAGUUGUUGGGCAGCA